rnacentral:tRNA from 1 species
GCCGUCUUAGCUCAGUGGUAGAGCACCACCAUGGUAAGGUGGGGGUCUCGGGUUCAAGUCCCGAAGACGGCUCCA